rnacentral:rRNA from 1 species
GAGGGGCCCGCGUCCGAUUAGCUAGUUGGUGGGGUAAUGGCUCACCAAGGCAACGAUCGGUAGCCGGCCUGAGAGGGCGGACGGCCACACUGGGACUGAGACACGGCCCAGACUCCUACGGGAGGCAGCAGUGGGGAAUUGUUCGCAAUGGGCGCAAGCCUGACGACGCAACGCCGCGUGGAGGAUGAAGAUCUUCGGGUCGUAAACUCCUUUCGAUCGAGACGAAUUCCCCUGGGGUGAACAAUUCCGGGGGUUGACGGUACCGAGAGAAGAAGCCCCGGCUAACUCCGUGCCAGCAGCCGCGGUAAUACGGGGGGGGCAAGCGUUGUUCGGAAUUACUGGGCGUAAAGGGCUCGUAGGCGGCCAACUAAGUCAGACGUGAAAUCCCUCGGCUUAACCGGGGAACUGCGUCUGAUACUGGAUGGCUCGAGUUCGGGAGAGGGAUGCGGAAUUCCAGGUGUAGCGGUGAAAUGCGUAGAUAUCUGGAGGAACACCGGUGGCGAAGGCGGCAUCCUGGACCGACACUGACGCUGAGGAGCGAAAGCCAGGGGAGCAAACGGGAUUAGAUACCCCGGUAGUCCUGGCCCUAAACGAUGAAUGCUUGGUGU